AUGUGCCGGUCCAAUAAUAACCAAUUCACGUUCGUGCUUCUAUCACGUGUGGCAGCUGUACUCAGCCAGCUGGCAGCUGUACUCAGCCAGCUGGCAGCUGUACUCAGCCAGCUGGCAGCUGUACUCAGCCAGCUGGCAGCUGUACUCAGCCAGCUGGCAGCUGUACUCAGCCAGCUGGCAGCUGUACUCAGCCAGCGGGCAGCUGUACUCAGCCAGCAGGCAGCCACAUUCCCUACCAGCCCUCACUCAGGCAGCUGUACUCAGCCAGCUGGCAGCUGUACUCAGCCAGCUGGCAGCUGUACUCAGCCAGCUGGCAGCUGUACUCAGCCAGCUGGCAGCUGUACUCAGCCAGCUGGCAGCUGUACUCAGCCAGCAGGCAGCUGUACUCAGCCAGCAGGCAGCUGUACUCAGCCAGCAGGCAGCUGUACUCAGCCAGCAGGCAGCUGUACUCAGCCAGCAGGCAGCUGUACUCAGCCAGCAGGCAGCCGUACUCAGCCAGCAGGCAGCCACAUUCCCUACCAGCCCUCACUCAGGCAGCUGUACUCAGCCAGCAGGCAGCCGUACUCAGCCAGCAGGCAGCCGUACUCAGCCAGCAGGCAGCCGUACUCAGCCAGCAGGCAGCCACAUUCCCUACCAGCCCUCACUCAGGCAGCUGUACUCAGCCAGCAGGCAGCUGUACUCAGCCAGCAGGCAGCUGUACUCAGCCAGCAGGCAGCUGUACUCAGCCAGCAGGCAGCUGUACUCAGCCAGCAGGCAGCUGUACUCAGCCAGCAGGCAGCUGUACUCAGCCAGCAGGCAGCUGUACUCAGCCAGCAGGCAGCUGUACUCAGCCAGCAGGCAGCUGUACUCAGCCAGCAGGCAGCCACAUUCCCUACCAGCCCUCACUCAGGCAGCUGUACUCAGCCAGCAGGCAGCUGUACUCAGCCAGCAGGCAGCCGUACUCAGCCAGCAGGCAGCCACAUUCCCUACCAGCCCUCACUCAGGCAGCUGUACUCAGCCAGCAGGCAGCUGUACUCAGCCAGCAGGCAGCUGUACUCAGCCAGCAGGCAGCUGUACUCAGCCAGCUGGCAGCUGUACGCAGGCAGCUGUACUCAGCCAGCUGGCAGCUGUACUCAGCCAGCAGGCAGCUGUACUCAGCCAGCAGGCAGCUGUACUCAGCCAGCAGGCAGCUGUACUCAGCCAGCAGGCAGCUGUACUCAGCCAGCAGGCAGCCACAUUCCCUACCAGCCCUCACUCAGGCAGCUGUACUCAGCCAGCAGGCAGCUGUACUCAGCCAGCAGGCAGCUGUACUCAGCCAGCAGGCAGCUGUACUCAGCCAGCAGGCAGCUGUACUCAGCCAGCAGGCAGCCACAUUCCCUACCAGCCCUCACUCAGGCAGCUGUACUCAGCCAGCAGGCAGCCACAUUCCCUACCAGCCCUCACUCAGGCAGCUGUACUCAGCCAGCAGGCAGCCACAUUCCCUACCAGCCCUCACUCAGGCAGCUGUACUCAGCCAGCAGGCAGCUGUACUCAGCCAGCAGGCAGCUGUACUCAGCCAGCAGGCAGCUGUACUCAGCCAGCAGGCAGCUGUACUCAGCCAGCAGGCAGCCACAUUCCCUACCAGCCCUCACUCAGGCAGCUGUACUCAGCCAGCAGGCAGCUGUACUCAGCCAGCAGGCAGCUGUACUCAGCCAGCAGGCAGCCACAUUCCCUACCAGCCCUCACUCAGGCAGCUGUACUCAGCCAGCAGGCAGCCACAUUCCCUACCAGCCCUCACUCAGGCAGCUGUACUCAGCCAGCAGGCAGCUGUACUCAGCCAGCAGGCAGCUGUACUCAGCCAGCAGGCAGCUGUACUCAGCCAGCAGGCAGCUGUACUCAGCCAGCAGGCAGCUGUACUCAGCCAGCAGGCAGCCACAUUCCCUACCAGCCCUCACUCAGGCAGCUGUACUCAGCCAGCAGGCAGCCACAUUCCCUACCAGCCCUCACUCAGGCAGCUUUACAGCAAAGGGAACUGCUUGCCUCUGCUUAAAAUAUCAAAGGGACGCAAAACCAAAAGUGUCUGUGUGUCUCUCCAGUCUACACAACAUAAACCCCCAGAAACCAUCUCUCAUUGGCCAUAUCUGGUUUACAAUCGCAUACUUUUCUCAGGGGUUGGAGAGAAAAGAUAUGACCUAUGAGAGAUGGUUUCUGUAA
rnacentral:lncRNA from 1 species